CACACUGAAAGACAAGAAGCAAGGCAGUCAGGAGCAGAGACUCAAAGCAGGGGUGGGGAGGGGGCUUAGAGAAGGGAAACAGGGGCCAUUGAGGAGGGUCAAUGCAGCCUCCUUCCUUGAAGGUCUCCUUGCAGAAUGGAGACAAAGGUCAAGUGCCCUGUACCAAGGGGACUUCACAAGUGUGACAGGUGGUGUCUACUCUGAGAUGCAGUCACAGCUAGAGGAGUGAGUGAGUGAGCAUGUCUUGCUAUGGCAGGAGCAGUUCCCUGCACCUCACACUUGGGUCUACGGCACUUUAGACCCCAAAAUCCAUGGUUUUAUGUUAGGCAAGCUUUGCAAUUCUUUUUUACUGCCAUGAGGGUUAUAGCUGGGGUGUUUUUCUGCACUAUGAAUCUACCACUCCCAGUGGCCUUUUUUUAUCUUUUUUUUUUCUAUUUUAUUUGAUAGAGAGAACUUGAUGGGAGGAGGGGGAGUCAGUGAGGGAGAGAGACAGAGAGACACCUAAAGCACUGAUACACCUCUCAUGAAACUUCCCCUCUGCAGAUGGGGCCUGGAGGCUGGAACUCAGGUCCUUUGUAUGGUAAUGUGUGUACUCAACUAGGUGUACCACCUCCUGACCCCUAUGUUUUACUUUAAAAAAAAGUGUGGAAGGACGUUAUGGGGAAGAAAUAUCCUGAAUAGGAUUGUGUUUUCCUCUUGCUGUCCAGAUGAAGCACUGAGAUCCAAGGACCUGGGAAUUCUCUGCCAAUCAGACAUGCUGAGUGAGGGAGUAGACACUUAGCCCAGGCUUCCUGGCCAAGGCUCCUGAAAGAGUGAUUUACACUGGGAUAAAAUAACAUGAAAAAGAAUAAGGAAAAAGAGUGGAGACUGUGCCCUGAGUGGCUGAGAUCAAGGCUGGGAGUGCCACACCCUGCCUAAUCCUAUGCUCCCUAACACCUGCCAGAAGAUAAAAGCUUGCCCAUCUCUGUAAGUGACUCUAUCUCCUCCCAGCCUCCACAAGGCCACUCUAGAACCACCACCACCCACCCCCACAUCUAGUGGAAAGGAAACUGGCCUCAGCUUUUUGCAAGCAGAGGUUUCUACACUGGGGACAACUUUCUUCUGUGAUUGACAAGUUUAUUUCACAUUCAAGUGAAGAUUAAGAUAUUCAUCUGGAUCCUUUGAAGAAACAAUGAACUUUUCCCCAAGUGUCGUGAUUUCCAGGUGAAAUUCUAAGGGCUUAGAAAAGGGUUCAGUCCUUCACUUUCCAACCUGAGAAUGUUGGUAGAAGUGGCUUUUCUCUCAACACCAUCCCUACCCACAAAGCAGCCCCGAAGUCCAAGUUUGAUUCUCUGGCUCCCUCAAGUGGUAGUAUUCAGCACAGCUGUCAACUGAGAUGUUACAGGGGACUUAGCACCUAAUGGGCAAGUUUCAGGGUGCUGAGGGUAGACAUGGGUGAGGGCCGUGAAGUAAUGCAAAGGCACUGAAUAUCAUGAAACCUAAUACGUUAAAAUUAUACAUUUCUGGGGCUGGGUGGUGAUGCACCCAGUUGAGCACACAUGCUACAGUGCUCAAGGGCCUGGGUUUAAGUCCUUGGUCCCCGCGGGCAAGAGGAUACCUUUGCAAGUGGUGAAGAAGUGCUGCAAGUGUCUCUCUUUCUCUCUCUCUAUUUCCCCAUUUACUUAAUAAUUUCUGCCUCUAUCCAAACAAAUAAGUAAAUAAAUAAAACAAA